rnacentral:rRNA from 1 species
CACUCCUGCGGGAGGCAGCAGUGGGGAAUAUUGCACAAUGGGCGCAAGCCUGAUGCAGCCAUGCCGCGUGUAUGAAGAAGGCCUUCGGGUUGUAAAGUACUUUCAGCGGGGAGGAAGGCGAUAAGGUUAAUAACCUUGUUGAUUGACGUUACCCGCAGAAGAAGCACCGGCUAACUCCGUGCCAGCAGCCGCGGUAAUACGGAGGGUGCAAGCGUUAAUCGGAAUUACUGGGCGUAAAGCGCACGCAGGCGGUCUGUCAAGUCGGAUGUGAAAUCCCCGGGCUCAACCUGGGAACUGCAUUGGGAACUGGCAGGCUAGAGUCUUGUAGAGGGGGGUAGAAUUCCAGGUGUAGCGGUGAAAUGCGUAGAGAUCUGGAGGAAUACCGGUGGCGAAGGCGGCCCCCUGGACAAAGACUGACGCUCAGGUGCGAAAGCGUGGGGAGCAAACAGGAUUAGAAACCCUUGUAGUCCC